rnacentral:misc_RNA from 1 species
GAUGAAGAACGUAGUGAAAUGCGAUAAGUAAUGUGAAUUGCAGAAUUCAGUGAAUCAUCGAAUCUUUGAACGCACCUUGCGCCCUUUGGCCAUUCCGAAGGGCAUGCCUGUUUGAGUAUCAUGAACACCUCAACUCUCAUGGCUUGCCAUGAUGAGCUUGGACUUUGGGGGUCUUGCUGGCCUGCGGUCAGCUCCUCUCAAAUGAAUUAGCUUUCCAGUGUUUGGUUGGCAUCACAGGUGUGAUAACUAUCUACGCUUGUGGUUUCCACCAGGUAACCUUCAGUAACAUGGGGGUUUGCUGGAGCUCAUAAAUGUCUCUCCUCAGUGGGGACAGCUCUUUGAACAUUUGAUCUCAAAUCAGGUAGGACUACCCGCUGAACUUAAGCAUAUCAAUAAGCGGAGGA